AAAUUGCUCUUGCUCCCAUCUUCACUUUCCACAAUUCCAAAUUGUUUCCCGAAAGUCCCUCGAUAACCCAUUUUGAAUCCAUGGUACUUAAUCCAAUUAACACUUUGCCCCACGGUGGGCGCCAAUUGUUGUGAAUUCUUUAAUAAUCACACCAAUAAUCUUGAUGUGUGGAGCAAAUCGAAUAAGCAAUCAAAAUGUGGAAAUAGCAAUAAUAAUCACGAACAAAAGAUAAGCAAUAAAACUGUAAAGAACACGAAGCAAUUGUUUACCCAGUUCAGUCAAAACCGACCUACUCUAGGGGAGAGAGCCACUCUCCGUUCCACUAUCAAUGAAAAGCUUGAUUACAAAGAUUCAAUACAAGAGUUUCAAGAAUUUAGAGUUUUCCUAAAUCCUACCCUUUUCCCGAAUCUCUCCCCGUGACCAAGAGAUUCAAUCAAUAAGUGUUUACAAGGUGUUACAAUCACUUCCCCAACCCUAGAGAUUACCCAAGAGAAACCCUCUAACACUCUAGCCUUCAUGUUGGAGAAAGAACCCUAAAAAUCACAUUUUUCCUCCCUCUUGCGGCUGAAAACAUAAAACAGGGGAUAUAUAUAAUCCCGCUCCAAGCCUGGCUCAGAUGGCAGAGAGCAUCACCCAAACCUGCAUUUUCAUUGAGCCUGGCGCAGCA
rnacentral:lncRNA from 1 species